AUUGAACGCUGGCGGCAGGCCUAACACAUGCAAGUCGAGCGAGCGGCGGACGGGUGAGUAAUGUAUGGGGAUCUGCCCGAUGGAGGGGGAUAACCACUGGAAACGGUGGCUAAUACCGCAUACUAUCGGAUGAACCCAUAUGGGAUUAGCUACUUGGGGGGGUAAAGGCUUACCUAGGCGACGAUCUCUAGCGGGUCUGAGAGGAUGAUCGACCACAGUGGAGCAGAGACACGGCCUAGACUCCUACGGGAGGGAGCAGUGGGGAAUAUUGCACAAUGGGCGCAAGCCUGAUGCAGCCGUACCGCGUGUAUGCAGAAGGCCUUAGGGUUGUAAAGUAGUUUCAGCGGGGAGGCGUUACCCGCAGGAGAAGCACCGGCUAACUCCGUGCCAGCAGCCGCGGUAAUUC
rnacentral:rRNA from 1 species